rnacentral:rRNA from 1 species
ACUCCUACGGGAGGCAGCAGUGGGGAAUAUUGCACAAUGGGCGCAAGCCUGAUGCAGCCAUGCCGCGUGUAUGAAGAAGGCCUUCGGGUUGUAAAGUACUUUCAGCAGUGAGGAAGGUGGGUAUGUUAAUAGCAUAUUCAUUUGACGUUAGCUGCAGAAGAAGCACCGGCUAACUCCGUGCCAGCAGCCGCGGUAAUACGGAGGGUGCGAGCGUUAAUCGGAAUUACUGGGCGUAAAGCGCAUGCAGGUGGUUUGUUAAGUCAGAUGUGAAAGCCCGGGGCUCAACCUCGGAAUUGCAUUUGAAACUGGCAAACUAGAGUACUGUAGAGGGGGGUAGAAUUUCAGGUGUAGCGGUGAAAUGCGUAGAGAUCUGAAGGAAUACCGGUGGCGAAGGCGGCCCCCUGGACAGAUACUGACACUCAGAUGCGAAAGCGUGGGGAGCAAACAGGAUUAGAUACCCUGGUAAGCUCUGC